ACCACGCUGCUAUGUUACAGUGCAGGUGAAAGAUGGCCACUGACCCUCCUUCUAACCUGACCCCCCAGGUCCUGUACUGAGGUCGCCUGGCUAAUGACCUAUAUGGACAUGUACAGAUACCACUCACCACGCUGCUAUGUUACAGUGCACGUCAGCAUGCAGCGGAGGGAGACUAAAGGUCAAAGGGGACAUAAAGGUUGACAAACAAAAGGACCCCACUAACAUCAGUAUGCAUAUUGUCAUGCCACUUAAAGAGUCUCAAACCUGACAAGAAUACAACUGAAAAUUGACAACGUGAUCCAGACGAUUUUUCAAACGAUAUCACUUACAUGUUGACACAAUCCAUAUGCAUAUGAAUUGAAAACUGGAAUUUCAUUUACUUAUCCAGCAACUGUAUUCAGUGUUAGACUGAGCCGUUGCUUCUCUCAGUUAUUGCAAAUGUAACACUGUUGGUCCUCACUGAGUCUUUCAUAAGGGCGUUCAUGGUGGGCCUUUCUCCAGCGACACAGGUAUAGCAGCUCCCAUGAAUGUAGUGACGCUGCUGGGACCACAGACCCUCGUGUUUUUGCGAGGAUUAAAGAUUAGAGAGAAAA